ACCUCGUUUUUCACCGAAAACUUUGUGCACGCACAUAGAAUGUCCGGGUAUACAUGCGGAAUUUUUGUUCGGAAUUUUUUAAUUUUUCAAAAUGUGUAUUAGACAAUGGGUGCAUAUGCACCUAGGAGCCAUAGCCAAUUUCCGUUCAUUUCAUUCCUUCUUUCACCUUCUUCCUCCUUCUACCCUAACAACGCCGCCAUGGAGGAGAACUCAGAUCCAAAAUAGAAGAACAAGGAACUGAAGAAGAAUUUUUUUCCCAUUUGUUGUUUUCCUUUCUUGAGAUCAAUUUGGGCCAGGAAAAAAAGGUUUAGUUCAACUUUUUCAGAUCUUGAAAUAAAAAAUAUAUAGGGUAAUCCCUUGAAUUUCACACAUUAUUAGACCAAUAAAAUCAUUCACAACGACCCUAAAGACACAAUCUAAUUCUGAAACUAAAAAAAAGACAGAGAUGUUUUAACAUCCUAAGUACAAAAACAGUUACUGAAUUCAGAAGACUGAAAUUUUUUGUAGAGUUGAAUGAAUUAUAUGGUAACUUGUUACCCUUCCUAAGAACAAAAGCAUAGACUGAAACUAACAAAAGACAGGGAAACCUGUUCAACAAAAGACAAAAUAAAUAACUAGAACUAAAAUAAACAUAAAUGUUUUCAAGAGUAGAAAUGAUUUAUCGAGUAGAAUGAAUAAUAGGGAGACUAGUUACCCUACUUAAAACAAAAUCCAGACUGAAACUAAAUAGACAGAAAUGUUUUCUAGAUUUGAAUGAAUUAGAGGGAAACCUGUUACCACCUAAAGAAAAAAAAUCAGUAACUGAAACUAAAUAGUAUAGCUACAAGAGGUGCUUACAUGAAUAGUGGCCAAAUUUCCAGAAAGUGCAAAGCACAAAAUUGCUCCAAUGAAGUGCUCGCAAGCACACUGCAAAAAGAAAGCAAAAUUAUGCAACUCAACAAUGAAAAACAUUUGCAAAACAAAGCAAUGAUAGAAACUAGAGAAAUAAUAUCAUUUUACAUUUUUUUACCUGUUAUUGUAGAAAUGUUAUCAUUUUUAUUUGUGUCCCACUAAACCAUAUGUACUUGCAUUGCUUAAUUUGCAGAUUCCAGAUUUUGCAAAAACAAGGGACAAACAAGUAGCAGCAUGACGUCAAGAUUUGCAUGAUCAGACAAAGGUAAUUUUUGCAUGCAGAACCUCAAACACCUGCUAUGAAAACAAAGGCAUACUAUCAUGUGCAUAAGUUGCUUCGUCGGAUUUUUUGUAAACCCUGUUCAAGAAUUCGUCCGAUUAACCAGCUAACUUCCCAAUUAAUUCCUACUCAUAGGGUUACCGAGUAGCCAAUAAACUGACAAAUGGCCGAUUAACUUGCCGAUUAGCCUAUUAAUCCCUUACUUGCCAGCCAACCGAGCAGCUACCAGUUAACGAUUUCCUCAACAAUAAUGAAAAGUAAAAAUUGCUUGGUCAAAUAACAAAAGUUGUACACAUUGGUCACCAGUGAGGACAACGUCAGCAUGUAGGAAGACCACAACAAAGCAUGGUAAGUAAACACUUUGCAUUGAGGCACAUUAUACUUUCAUUUAGGCGAAACAUCAUUUUUUUUGCAGGUGCCUAAAAAUUGAGAAAAAGCAUACAAGCAAGUGCAUUAUAAAAAAAAUGCAUUCGACCAAAGCAUUCAGGACACACUUCUUGCACAUAAGAAUGGCGAGCAAGAAGGUCAAGAUUACAUAGCAAUGCACAAUGAGCUCACCAAAGAGAAUGUAAGUCAAGUUUAAGAUGGAAAACACAAUUAUCAACUAAUGUAUGAGCAAGGACAAGCAGGGCUUCGGUCUUACACAACACUAAUGCAACAAAUGACUGUCAUGAUCCAUCUUUAGAGUGACGACAUGGGCCUAUUCAAAGCUUCACUUCCCUGUUACAAGGAGGCUUAUUAUCACAGGAGGACCAUUGGAUGGCAUGACUACCAACAAUAGAACACUAUCACAAAGAAGAAACUCAGAAUGCAGAAGAAGCCACCAGAAAUGAUCAGUGGGAAAACAAUUCUAUACCUGAAGAAGAAGAUUUUGAAGUAGAUUGUGAUGAAGAACAGUCUGGUCCUGAUGAUGAUACCGGUGAAUCUGAAAGUGGUGGCAAUGAAAGUGAUGCGGGGGAAGAGUACGUGGAAGACAUUGAAACUGGUGGCAAUGAAAGUGAUGCAGAGGAAUAGUAUAUGCAAAACAAUGCAACUGAUGGUCAUAUGGAUAGAGAAUAUCUUGAUUUAAAUUUGCAACAAACAUAGCUAAAUUGGAACAAUAUUGAUUCACUCAGAGAACAAAAAAUAUAUUAUGUCGACUACACAAA